UCCCUUUAGCCAGCGAGCUAUAAGGACAUUAACGUUAACAAUUAGCCGUUGGCUCAAGAGUUUAAAACUUAUGUUGUAGCUAGCUAGCUAAAUGCCUCUCCUUUAACGUUAGCUAGUAAAUCUCUAUAUUGCUAUUUUGGUUCCUAACUGUAAACACACAUUACUCCUUACACGGAAUUAACUAUAUAGGGUUAACGUUAUGAGUAUUAUUUAGCAUCCCGAACGUCAUGAUUGAUUGACGCACUUGACAGUGAAGAUGACGGAGAGGAGGAGGCAAAUAGGAAGCGUUAGCGUUAUAGCCUGAGCUCUCGGACUUUUUAUAAAACCUGAUAAUAACGCAAAAGAGGACAAUGAUAAAGUAGAGACUUGCCCCCUCCUAUGUGUUAAGCAGCCUAACAGUUACGAGGAUUCAAGUCCCAGCCCCGAACCGGCUGCCUUCAGAGCAACACAGAGCUUCUUUGGAACAAGGAGCAACAUUUAAUAUCCAUGAGAUCCUUAAGACAGCUGAUGGAAAAUGCAUGGUUAGUGGUCCUGAGGAACAGAAUCACAUAAAUAAUGAAAGACGUGCCAUGGUCCGGAUACUUGUGUCCCACUAGUUGUGCACUUUGGAGAGAAGACGACGCAUGGUUCACCCCAGGGAGAGGGCAUAAACCCACAACAGGCUUUCUGGAAGAGCAUCUCCGUAAUGUCUGAAAAAGACUCCACUCUGGCAGACGAGUACAUUUAACAUCACAAGUGCCACAAGACACCAGAGUCAUUUUACCAGAACCAACUAGAACUCCAGAGCGGGCCAUCCAAUUGACGGAGUGACUGAAGAAUAACAUCUGGCCACAGUCCCAGGUUGGCCAACACAUGCUGGAGACUGCCAUCCAUAGGGCCCAGUGGAUCCCAGCAAAUGGGACUACAUCAAUGGUAGACAUUAGCACAGAGUUUCCAUGCUUAGUGGACACUCCAGGCAUGGUGAGCUAGAAUCUUACAAAAUAAAAUGUUGUGUUGUGGUGCUGGGAUUGUUGUUCAAUGUCAACUUUGUGCUAAAUUUUGGGAGUUCAUCUAGACUACCGUCUUUCAGAUACCAGGACUUGAAUCAAACACUGUCAAAUUAAUGAGAGCUCAGAUUGCUAGUUGAUAGUUCAAUGCAUGAAGUUUGAGAAAUUGUGACUAUUUUGUCCGUUUAAUGAUGUAAUAAAUAGAGAUGCACCGAUUUCAACUUACUAGGCUGUUUCAAAUUUCCAAUUUUUCAUUGAGUUUGAUCUGCCGAUAUCGAUUUUAGCCGAUUCCAAUUUCAUAUUUUCUAACGACU